rnacentral:rRNA from 1 species
CCUACGGGAGGCAGCAGUGAGGAAUAUUGGUCAAUGGACGAGAGUCUGAACCAGCCAAGUAGCGUGAAGGAUGACUGCCCUAUGGGUUGUAAACUUCUUUUAUAUGGGAAUAAAACGUUCCACGUGUGGGAUUUUGUAUGUACCAUAUGAAUAAGGAUCGGCUAACUCCGUGCCAGCAGCCGCGGUAAUACGGAGGAUCCGAGCGUUAUCCGGUUUUAUUGGGUUUAAAGGGAGCGUAGGUGGAUUGUUAAGUCAGUUGUGAAAGUUUGCGGCUCAACCGUAAAAUUGCAGUUGAAACUGGCAGUCUUGAGUACAGUAGAGGUGGGCGGAAGUCGUGGUGUAGCGGUGAAAUGCUUAGAUAUCACGAAGAACUCCGAGUGCGAAGGCAGUUCACUGGACUGCAACUGACACUGAGGCUCGAAAGUGUGGGUAUCAAACAGGAUUAGAUACCCCUGUAGUC